rnacentral:rRNA from 1 species
CACGUAGGAGCCAAGCGUUAUCCGAAUUCACUGGGCGUAAAGCGCGUGUAGGCGGUUUUAUAAGUUGGAUGUGAAAGCUCCUGGCUCAACUGGGAGAGUGCGUUCAAUACUGUAGAACUAGAGGACGGCAGAGGGAGGUGGAAUUCCCGGUGUAGUGGUGAAAUGCGUAGAUAUCGGGAGGAACACCAGUGGCGAAAGCGGCCUUCUGGGCCGUUUCUGACGCUCAGACGCGAAAGCUAGGGGAGCGAACGGG